rnacentral:rRNA from 1 species
AUUGAACGCUGGCGGCAGGCCUAACACAUGCAAGUCGAACGGUAACAGGAAACAGCUUGCUGUUUCGCUGACGAGUGGCGGACGGGUGAGUAAUGUCUGGGAAACUGCCUGAUGGAGGGGGAUAACUACUGGAAACGGUAGCUAAUACCGCAUAACGUCGCAAGGCCAAAGAGGGGGACCUUCGGGCCUCUUGCCAUCGGAUGUGCCCAGAUGGGAUUAGCUAGUAGGUGGGGUAACGGCUCACCUAGGCGACGACCCCUAGCUGGUCUGAGAGGAUGACCAGCCACACUGGAACGGAGACACGGUCCAGACUCCUACGGGAGGCAGCAGUGGGGAAUAUUGCACAAUGGGCGCAAGCCUGAUGCAGCCAUGCCGCGUGUAUGAAGAAGGCCUUCGGGUUGUAAAGUACUUUCAGCGGGGAGGAAGGGAGUAAAGUUAAUACCUUGACUCAUUGACGUUACCCGCAGAAGAAGCACCGGCUAACUCCGUG